AACGCACCUUGCGCUCUCUGGUAUUCCGGAGAGCAUGCCUGUUUGAGUGUCAUGAACUCUUCAACCCACCGGUUCCUUGUGAAUCAGGUGGAGUUUGGAUUUUGGUUGUUUGCUAUCGCGAGAUAGCUCGACCGUAAUAUAUUAGCUUUGCGACUAAUCCCCUUGGAUUGACUCGGCGUAAUAGACUAUUCGCUGAGGACACUAUUUCGGUAGUGGCCAAGUACCUUGCUGCAAGCUUCAAACAUUAGAUCUAUUCUUUUAGACCUCAAAUCAGACAGGAUUACCCGCUGAACUUAA
rnacentral:misc_RNA from 1 species